CCUACGGGUGGCAGCAGUAGGGAAUAUUGCUCAAUGGGGGAAACCCUGAAGCAGCAACGCCGCGUGGAGGAUGAAGGCUUUCGGGUUGUAAACUUCUUUUGUCAGGGACGAAGCAAGUGACGGUACCUGACGAAUAAGCCACGGCUAACUACGUGCCAGCAGCCGCGGUAAUACGUAGGUGGCAAGCGUUAUCCGGAUUUACUGGGUGUAAAGGGCGUGUAGGCGGGGAAGCAAGUCAGAUGUGAAAACCACGGGCUCAACCUGUGGCCUGCAUUUGAAACUGUUUUUCUUGAGUGCUGGAGAGGCAAUCGGAAGUCCGUGUGUAGCGGUGAAAUGCGUAGAUAUACGGAGGAACACCAGUGGUGAAGGCGGAUUGCUGGACAGUAACUGACGCUGAGGCGCGAAAGCGUGGGGAGCAAACAGGAUUAGAUACCCGAGUAGUC
rnacentral:rRNA from 1 species